AACGCGAAGAACCUUACCUGGGCUCGAAGCGCAGUGGAAUCCGGUGGAAACAUCGGCGCCCGCAAGGGCCGCUGCGGAGGUGCUGCAUGGCUGUCGUCAGCUCGUGUCGUGAGAUGUUGGGUUAAGUCCCGCAACGAGCGCAACCCUUAUCUCCAGUUGCCAUCAUUCAGUUGGGCACUCUGGCGAAACCGCCUCGGAUAACGGGGAGGAAGGUGGGGAUGACGUCAAGUCCUCAUGGCCUUUAUGUCCAGGGCUACACACGUGCUACAAUGGCCGGUAUAAACCGCUGCAAACCCGCGAGGGGGAGCUAAUCGGAAAAAGCCGGCCUCAGUUCGGAUCGCAGUCUGCAACUCGACUGCGUGAAGCUGGAAUCGCUAGUAAUCGCAGAUCAGAAUGCUGCGGUGAAUACGUUCCCGGGCCUUGUACACACCGACUGUAC
rnacentral:rRNA from 1 species